rnacentral:misc_RNA from 1 species
AUUCCUGCUGGAUUAAGCAAUGCCCUAAAAUUGAGAACGUUUCUUUUGUCAUGUCAAGAACUUUCUAUUAGUGAUGAUGAUGUAAGUAAGUUGUCAAUCUCUGAAGUUAUUGUUCGAAACUUUAGAAAGUUACGGGUAUGUGAUAUGAAUCGGGCAAUGAUUGAAAAAGUGUCCAAUUCCAUAAAUAGACUAAAACAUAUGAGAUAUCUUGAUGUUUCUAAUA